rnacentral:rRNA from 1 species
UAGGGAAUCUUCCACAAUGGGCGAAAGCCUGAUGGAGCAACGCCGCGUGUGUGAUGAAGGGUUUCGGCUCGUAAAACACUGUUGUAAGAGAAGAAUGACAUUGAGAGUAACUGUUCAAUGUGUGACGGUAUCUUACCAGAAAGGAACGGCUAAAUACGUGCCGGC